AUCCACUCCAGUGGAGUUUCCCAUGCAAGCCUAGGAUAGGAUGCAGAUGUUCCUAUAAUAAAGGAAUGAUGCUCAUAAUGUUUGGAGAUGUGUGUGGAGUGAGGAGAGUAAAGCAACUGUGAAGAGAGAGUAAAUAGAAGCGGCAUAACUUUCAGAAGAAUGUAAAAAUGUGAAACUGGAAUAGCAAAGGAGAUGUUUGUGCUGGCACCUUCCUGUAGAUGGGGCUGUGGUUGCACAUAGGCUGGGACCCGGAUGGCAGCGUGGUACGAUGUGAU